GUCAAUGUGGCGUAGUGGUUUAAGUGUAGGAUUAUCACUCUGGAGACCAGGGUUCGAUUCCCAGCUCAGCCA